rnacentral:rRNA from 1 species
AAGUCGUAACAAGGUUUCCGUAGGUGAACCUGCGGAAGGAUCAUUACAAAUCGUGUGUUAAGGUAUCCGAGGACGCAAGUCCGAGGGAUCCAUUCGCCCGGGGAUGGUUGUAAAAGAUCAUUCCCGAAGGUGUUGGUUGGUUUUAGUGGUUGGUCGUGAACAGCGAUCACCACAAAUACCCCCAAUAUUCACGCUUGUCGAGUUUGACCGAGUUUAUUAAUACACAAGACAUAUAGACAACUUUUAACAAUGGAUCUCUUGGCUCUUGCAACGAUGAAGAACGCAGCCAAGUGCGAAAUGUAGUGCAAUCUGCAUGAAUCUGCGAGUCAUUUAAUCUUUGAACGCAACUUGCGCCCACUCGUGGGCAUGUCUGUUUGAGUACCGAAUAAAUGUAUAUUUGAUGAAUUGAGGUAUAUCUAUGAUUGCCUUUAAAAGAAUGGAAUUGAUUGAUCGAUCGAGAUUAUGAGCCAAAGGCCCACGUGGUCUGAUCAUAAGAUUGAUUGAUGGCGAUCAUCGAUGGCGUAAUAACCACCAAUAACUUCACCAUGGUCUCAAAUCAGGCAAGAUUACCCGCUGAACUUAAGCAUAUCAGUAAGCGGAGGAAAAGAAACUAACAAGGAUUCCCCUAGUAACGGCGAGUGAAGCGGGAAUAGCUCAAAUUUGUAAUCUCGAUGUAAAGUCGCGAAUUGUAAUCUAAAGAGGGCGAGUAAGGAGGGAAUAGAUUGUCAAGUUCCUUGGAAUAGGACGCCAAAGAGGGUGAGAGCCCCGUAAAGCAAUCUAAUCCAUUCCAAAACGAACCUUUCUACGAGUCGAGUUGUUUGGGAAUGCAGCUCAAAAAGGGUGGUAAAUCUCAUCCAAGGCUAAAUAUAGGCAAGAGACCGAUAGCGAACAAGUACCGUGAGGGAAAGAUGAAAAGAACCUUGAAAAGGGAGUUAAAUAGUGCGUGAAAUUGUUAAAAGGGAAACGAUUGAAGCCAGUAUUUGGUGGGAGGGGAUGGAUAGGAUUUUGGUCCUUUCCAACCUACCUAUUCAGAGUCAAUAACAAUUGUAUCAGUUUGAUGAGCAUGGAGGAAAGGUAGUAUUGGUAGCAAUACCGAUUCUUUAUAGUCCACCAAUGUGGAAACCGACACGAUUGGAAACCAUCAACGAGCGUUGGUUUAGAUCAUGCUAAUGGAACAUGAAUGUACAUGUACUAUCAUUCUUCAAAAGUAUGUAAUUGAUCACCCCCCAUUGAUGAAACUUGACGAAAUGGCUUUAAACGACC